rnacentral:rRNA from 1 species
UGGGGAAUCUUGCGCAAUGGACGAAAGUCUGACGCAGCCACGCCGCGUGAGUGAAGAAGGCCUUCGGGUUGUAAAGCUCUGUCGGAAGGGACAAAAACCCUCUUGGUUAAUAGCCAGGAGGCUUGAUGGUACCUUCAAAGGAAGCACCGGCUAACUUCGUGCCAGCAGCCGCGGUAAUACGAAGGGUGCAAGCGUUGCUCGGAAUUAUUGGGCGUAAAGGGUAGGUAGGUGGUUGCGUAUGUCUGAGGUGAAAUCCCCGAGCUUAACUUGGGAAGUGCCUUGGAAACGGCGUAACUAGAGUACUGGAGAGGUUCGUAGAAUUCCUGGUGUAGCGGUGAAAUGCGUAGAGAUCAGGAGGAAUACCAGAGGCGAAAGCGACGAACUGGACAGUUACUGACACUCAACUACGAAAGCGUGGGGAGCAAACAGG